rnacentral:ncRNA from 1 species
UCGGGCAAAUGUACAGCGGAACCUUUAACCGCUAAAGUGAAGCGCCUUGCCAAGAAGUGACCUGUGAAUGAGGUUGCGUUUGUAAGAAAAGCAAAAUGCAUAGACAUUUUGGCCGCCAGAGAACUGUGAAUUAUGGUAAUCAUUUGCAAAUGCAAGCAGUCCGUUGCCGGUGGAUUGCAAACUGCAACAGGGUUCAGGACAACAAAUAAAGGCAUGAGCAGUCAGUGCAUUCACCACUGGCUGUUUUUG